AUCCAGCUGACGAGUCCCAAAUAGGACGAAACACGCUUCCUACAU
rfam:Schistosoma curassoni strain Dakar, Senegal genome assembly, scaffold: SCTD_scaffold0014540